rnacentral:rRNA from 1 species
GUAGUCUCGCACAGAUGCAUAUCAAUAAGCGGAGGAAAAGAAACUAACAAGGAUUCCCUUAGUAACGGCGAGUGAAGCGGGAAGAGCCCAAAUUUGAAAUCUUCAAGGUUUUACCUUGACGAAUUGUAGUUUAAAGAAGUGUUUUCUGUUGAAGUUUUGGUAAAAGUUCUUUGGAAUAGGACAUCAUAGAGGGUGAGAAUCCCGUAUUGACCAUUGGAUUUGUCAGCUGUGUGAUACACUUUCAAAGAGUCGGAUUGUUUGGGAAUGCAGUCCAAAAUGGGAUGGUAAAUUUCUAUCUAAGGCUAAAUAUUGGCGAGAGACCGAUAGCGAACAAGUACCGUGAGGGAAAGAUGAAAAGAACUUUGAAAAGAGAGUUAAACAGUACGUGAAAUUGUCAAAAGGGAAGCGUUUGACACCAGUGUUGUUUUCUCGAAAAUCAAUUAAAAAGAGUUAGAUUUUGUUGUGUAUUGACCUUAACAGCUUGCAUUUCAAUUUUCUUGCUUUUUUUAAUGCACUUUUCGUUUAACAAGUCAACAUCAGUUUCUUUUGUUGUAAAAAGGUCAUUGGAAGGUGGCUUUCUUUUCGGAGAAAGUGUUUAUAGCCUUUGACUCCUGCAAUCGGAGAGACUGAGGUCUGCAGCGUAGAUCCUUCGGGGUUAGAUACAUUUGUGCUAAGUUAUAGCUUUUUAUAGACAACUUGUUGACUAUGAUUAGUCUUGUAGCUUACUCGCUUAUGCUAUUUUACCUACGCUUAGGAUGUUGAAGAUGUAGCACAUCAU